rnacentral:tRNA from 1 species
GUUUCCGUAGUGUAGCGGUUAUCACGUGAGUCUAACACACUCAAGGUCCCCGGUUCGAGCCCGGGCGGAAACU